rnacentral:miRNA from 1 species
AGAAAGUUCAUUUAGGUUUUUC